UCCGCUCCAGUCAGUUUCCCCUGGUGUGAACAUCUCUCAUUCCUAUGGUCCGUUUGUCACAGCUAAUGAAGCCAUUUUCAUACCUUAUUAUUUACGAAACUGCAGACUUUAUUUGGAGUUCAUUAGCGUUCCCCUAGUGUCCUUUCUGUGUUCCAGGAUUCCAUCGAGAAUAUCACAUUACAUUUAGUCUCCUUCAUGCCUCCUUGGCCUCCUCUGGUCUGUGAUAGUUCCUGAGAUUUUCCUAAUUUUUUAUACCUUUCACAAUAUUGGGAAGAACUGACCAGAUAUAUUGUAAAAUGUCCCUCAAACUGAAUUUAUUUGGGGUUUAGAUCAUGGUUAGACUACGGUUAUGGAUGUUUAGAUGAGGUGAAGUGCGAUUCUCCAAACACUUUGUCAAGGUUAUAGAAUAUCAAUUGAUGUACCACUGUUGUUGAAGUUGAUCACCUGGUAUAUUAGCUUCAAUAUACCUCCCGGGUAUAUUGAACCCAGGAGGCAGAGGUUGCAGUGAGCCGAGAUCAUGCCAUUGCACUCCAGCCUGGGAGAAAAGAGGGAAACUUCAUGUCCAAAAAAAAAAAAAAGUUAAAAUAAAUAAGAAAAGAAAAAAAUUAAGGUCAUCUCUUGUGUACUUUUUAAAAUCAAUGGAUAGAGUAUAGCAAAGUUAUGUGAGCACUCACAAUACCUGGUUUUUAACUGAAAGAAACACUGAAAAGGGCAAGAUAUUGUCUCAAAUUGCCAAUGCCACCCCAGCCCCAUCCUCCAGCAGCAGCUCUGCAGUGCGGAGAAUCAUGCACUUUGGGAGAGGGAGAACACAGAAAUUGUGAGACAUUGCGUUGAACUCAGUGGUGCCUUGAUAUAGAGUUAUAUUAGAAGAAUGGAGCAAUGGGUUUGGUUGUUGGUGUGUGGGCUGGGGUUGGUGCGCGCUUCCGGCUUGGCCACCGGUGUCCGUGGUUCAGCCCCGGGGCUUUUGUGUCGGGUCUGGCUUGGCUUUGUGUUCCAGAGUUUUUGCCCUGCUCCGCAGCGCUUCUCCGGGGCGGGAGCCACGAGGCCUGGGCGAGCUCAGGCGGGACCGGCGGCUGUGAAGGUUGCGGGGAGCGGGACUUGCAGCUCCUGGUGAUGCCAGAGUUCCUGGAAGGCUCCUGGGACCUGACGAAGGACAAGUUGAAGAGUGAGUUGGUCACCAUUAAAGUGAGGCUCCCGGCCCGGAGCAGCGCGCAGACCAGGACGCACAGCUCCGCCUGCAGCACUGGGCGCUACCUCUACCCGCCCGGGCGCCGACAGCUAGGGCCCGCCUCCCCCAGCUGCGAGGAACUCGCAGCUGCGAGUGCACCCUGGUCCUGGCUUCGGAGCCGGGCCUCCCGGAGCAGGAAAGCCACAAAGAAAACGGAUCAACCCAGACCAAAAGAUGAAGCUGAUCUCGAGGUAAUCGCGCUCACUAAUGAAGAUCUCGUGGACCCGCUUGCGAGGUAUGA
rnacentral:lncRNA from 1 species